UACGGGAGGCAGCAGUGGGGAAUAUUGCACAAUGGGCGCAAGCCUGAUGCAGCCAUGCCGCGUGUAUGAAGAAGGCCUUCGGGUUGUAAAGUACUUUCAGUCGUGAGGAAGGUGUUAAGGUUAAUAACCUUAGCAAUUGACGUUAGCGACAGAAGAAGCACCGGCUAACUCCGUGCCAGCAGCCGCGGUAAUACGGAGGGUGCGAGCGUUAAUCGGAAUUACUGGGCGUAAAGGGCACGCAGGCGGUUAAUUAAGUUGGAUGUGAAAUCCCCGGGCUUAACCUGGGAAUGGCAUUCAAGACUGGUUAGCUAGAGUCUUGUAGAGGGGGUAGAAUUCCGAUGUGUAGCGGUGAAAUGCGUAGAGAUGUGGAGGAAUACCGGUGGCGAAGGCGGCCCCUGGGACAAAGACUGACGCUCAUGUGCGAAAGCGUGGGGAGCGAAAC
rnacentral:rRNA from 1 species